rnacentral:rRNA from 1 species
UGCUAGUUGUACGAGUUUAGACUCGUAGCAGAUAGCUCAGUAACACGUGGCCAAACUACCCUAUGGAUCCGGACAACCUCGGGAAACUGAGGCUAAUCCGGAAUACGGCUCUCAGCCUGGAAGUGGCGAGAGUCAGAAACGCUCCGGCGCCAUAGGAUGUGGCUGCGGCCGAUUAGGUAGACGGUGGGGUAACGGCCCACCGUGCCCAUAAUCGGUACGGGUUGUGAGAGCAAGAGCCCGGAGACGGUAUCUGAGACAAGAUACCGGGCCCUACGGGGCGCAGCAGGCGCGAAACCUUUACACUGCACGAAAGUGCGAUAAGGGGACUCCAAGUGCGAGGGCAUAUAGUCCUCGCUUUUCACUACCGUAAGGUGGUAGUAGAAUAAGUGCUGGGCAAGACCGGUGCCAGCCGCCGCGGUAAUACCGGCAGCACGAGUGAUGACCGCUCUUAUUGGGCCUAAAGCGUCCGUAGCUGGCCACGCAAGUCUAUCGGGAAAUCCGCGCGCUCAACGCGCGGGCGUCCGGUGGAAACUGUGUGGCUUGGGACCGGAAGAUCCAGAGGGUACGUCCGGGGUAGGAGUGAAAUCCCGUAAUCCUGGACGGACCACCGGUGGCGAAAGCGCUCUGGAAAGACGGAUCCGACGGUGAGGGACGAAAGCUCGGGUCACGAACCGGAUUAGAUACCCGGGUAGUCCGAGCUGUAAACGAUGUCUGCUAGGUGUGCCACAGGCUACGAGCCUGUGGUGUGCCGUAGGGAAGCCGUGAAGCAGACCGCCUGGGAAGUACGUCCGCAAGGAUGAAACUUAA